GUGACGGAGAAUUAGGGUUCGAUUCCGGAGAGGGAGCCUGAGAAACGGCUACCACAUCCAAGGAAGGCAGCAGGCGCGCAAAUUACCCAAUCCCGACACGGGGAGGUAGUGACAAUAAAUAACAAUACGGGGCUCUUUAGGGUCUCGUAAUUGGAAUGAGUACAAUUUAAAUCCCUUAACGAGGAACAAUUGGAGGGCAAGUCUGGUGCCAGCAGCCGCGGUAAUUCCAGCUCCAAUAGCGUAUAUUAAAGUUGUUGCAGUUAAAAAGCUCGUAGUUGAAUUUCGGGAUUGACGUGAUGGUCGUGCCUUACGGGGUAUGAACUGUUGCUGUUGAUUUCUCACCUUCUGGAGAAACUUGAUGUCCUUAAUUGGGUGUCUUGCGGAUCCAGGACCUUUACCUUGAAAAAAUUAGAGUGUUUAAAGCAGGCAUUUUGCUCGAAUACAUUAGCAUGGAAUAAUAGAAUAGGACGGCAUGGUUCUAUUUUGUUGGUUUCUAGGAUCACCGUAAUGAUUAAUAGGGAUAGUUGGGGGCAUUAGUAUUCAAUUGUCAGAGGUGAAAUUCUUGGAUUUAUUGAAGACUAACUACUGCGAAAGCAUUUGCCAAGGAUGUUUUCAUUAAUCAAGAACGAAAGUUAGGGGAUCGAAGACGAUCAGAUACC
rnacentral:rRNA from 1 species